rnacentral:rRNA from 1 species
CCGGUUCAGGUGCUGCAUGGCUGUCGUCAGCUCGUGCCGUGAGGUGUUGGGUUAAGUCCCGCAACGAGCGCAACCCUCGUCCUUAGUUGCCACCAUUCAGUUGGGCACUCUAGGGAGACUGCCGGCGUUAAGCCGGAGGAAGGUGGGGACGACGUCAAGUCAUCAUGGCCCUUAUGUCCAGGGCCACACACGUGCUACAAUGGCCGGUACAAAGGGUCGCAAACCCGCGAGGGGGAGCCAAUCCCAUAUAGCCGCUCUCAGUUCGGAUUGGGAGUCUGCAACUCGACUCCAUGAAGUUGGAAUCGCUAGUAAUCGCGGAUCAGCACGCCGCGGUGAAUACGUUCCCGGGCCUUGUACACACCGCCCGUCACACCAUGGAAGCCAGCUGUACCGGAAGUCGGUGGCCCAACUCGCAAGAGAGGGAGCCGUCGAAGGUGGGGUCGGUGAUUGGGGUG